GGGGGUGAUUUUGGGAUUCGACACUUCGAUCUAGCCUGCGGGUGCAUGUCGUGGGGCGGUUUGCCACGUAAAAAGCCGCAAAAAAAUAGUCGCAAACGACGAAAACUACGCACUAGCAGCUUAAUACCCUGCUAAGAGCCUCUUUGCCCUAGCUUCCGCUCGUAAGACGGGGAAUUACAAAGAGUCAAACCCAAACUAGCUAGCCUGGAUUCUCCCGCCUGAGAGAUGAACGGCGAAUUAUAAUUCAGGAUAGUCAUUCAUUAGCGUGUCGGUUCGCAGGUGGGUGGCGAAAUUAAAGAUCGAAUAAGCAUGUAGUACCUUCCUGCAAAAUUGAGGUGGACGCGGGUUCAAAUCCCGCCACCUCCACCA
rnacentral:tmRNA from 1 species